rnacentral:rRNA from 1 species
ACGUAGGGUGCAAGCGUUGUCCGGAAUUAUUGGGCGUAAAGAGCUCGUAGGCGGUGUGUCGCGUCUGCUGUGAAAACUCAGGGCUCAACUCUGAGCUUGCAGUGGGUACGGGCACACUAGAGUGCUGUAGGGGAGACUGGAAUUCCUGGUGUAGCGGUGAAAUGCGCAGAUAUCAGGAGGAACACCGGUGGCGAAGGCGGGUCUCUGGGCAGUUACUGACGCUGAGGAGCGAAAGCAUGGGGAGCGAACAGG